rnacentral:rRNA from 1 species
UAACGCGUGGGAAUCUGCCUUUGGGUGGGGGAUAGCAGACCGAAAGGUCUAUUAAUACCGCAUAUGCCGAGAGGUAAAAGUAGCAAUAUGCCCGGGGAUGAGCCUGCGUCCGAUUAGCUAGUUGGUGGGGUAAAUGCCUACCAAGGCUAUGAUCGGUAGCUGGUCUGAGAGGAUGAUCAGCCACAAUGGGACUGAGACACGGCCCAUACUCCUACGGGAGGCAGCAGUGGGGAAUUUUACGCAAUGGGCGAAAGCCUGACGUAGCGACACCGCGUGAGCGAAGAAGCCCUUUGGGGUGUAAAGCUCUGUCAGCAGGAACGAAAAAAAUGACGGUACCUGCAGAGGAAGCAUCGGCUAACUACGUGCCAGCAGCCGCGGUAAGACGUAGGAUGCAAGCGUUGUCCGGAUUCAUUGGGCGUAAAGAGUUCGUAGGCGGUUUGUUAAGUCUGAUGUUAAAGAUCGGGGCCCAACCCUGGGAGUGCAUUGGAUACUGGCAGACUGGAGUGCAGUAGAGGCGAGUGGAAUUCCCAGUGUAGCGGUGAAAUGCGUAGAUAUUGGGAAGAACACCGGUGGCGCAGGCGACUCGCUGGGCUGUAACUGACGCUGAGGAACGAAAGCUAGGGGAGCAAAUGGGAUUAGAUACCCCAGUAGUCCUAGCUGUAAACGAUGGAUACUAGGCGUUGCAGGUAUCGACCC